UGCCAGACUCCUACGGGAGGCAGCAGUGAGGAAUAUUGGUCAAUGGUCGGGAGACUGAACCAGCCAAGCCGCGUGAGGGAUGAAGGUACAGAGUAUCGUAAACCUCUUUUGUCAGGGAACAAAGGCGGGGACGCGUCCCCGGAUGAGUGUACCUGAAGAAAAAGCAUCGGCUAACUCCGUGCCAGCAGCCGCGGUAAUACGGAGGAUGCGAGCGUUAUCCGGAUUUAUUGGGUUUAAAGGGUGCGUAGGCGGAAGGCAAGGUCAGGGGUAAAAUCGCGGGGCUCAACCUCGCUCCGCCGUUGAAACUGGCGGUCUUGAGUGGGCGAGAAGUAUGCGGAAUGCGCGGUGUAGCGGUGAAAUGCAUAGAUAUCACGCAGAACUCCGAUUGCGAAGGCAGCAUACCGGCGCCCAACUGACGCUGAAGCACGAAAGUGCGGGGAUCGAACAGGAUUAGAUACCCCGGUAAUC
rnacentral:rRNA from 1 species